GUGAGUCAUGGCCUAAGAUCAAGCCAAAAGGCGUAGUCGAUGGACAACAUGUAAAUAUUCUUGUACUAUCCCUUGUUGGUCCCGAGGGACGGAGGAGGCUAGGUUAGCCAAAAACUGGUUAUUGGCUCAAGAACGUAAGGUGCCCCUACUUUUUCAGGGUAAGAAUGUGUAGAGAAAAUGCCUGGAGCCAAUGUUCGAGUAACAGGCGCUAUGGCGCUGAAGUAACCCACGCCAUACUCCUAGGAAAAGGUCGUUUUGUCUCCCACAUGACCAUUUGAAAGCGUAUGCUGUAUAUUGUCUCCAUCUUGCCAAAAGUUACUGACAAAAGAUAAAAGUUUCCUUUAUUUUUGAGAUAUGAUAUCUCAUCUCGUCAAAGGUUCUGUUAUCCCCAUUAGAAAAAAAUGCUAUUGGACAAUUACAAAUGCCAUUCAUAACCUUAAAAAGUGUUAGAUUAUAUCACAAAGAAGAAAAAGAUAUUGUUAAGCAAGACCGAUUGAAACUGUAACAGUUUCAGAAUGAGUUUAUUAUAUGCUUAAACUAUUAAAGUUAAUAGACCUUUUCAGUCUUUUAUACACAGGUAUGAUUCCUAGCAUUUGAAAAGAUUUGGCAUAAAGUGGACAGUAUUUAACUGUACUUUAUAAUUAUUAUAUAUGUGGAAUAUCUAUAUUUCUGUUAACAGAUUUUAUAGCUUGAGAACCUAAGAAUAAAAUAUGAUUUUGUUUCCCGUUAAUUUCGUAAUUGGCCUUUUAUGACAAUUGGUGUUUUGAAGAAACCAUGCUCCUCCAAUAAACAUUCCAACUGUUGUAAAUAAAAGGUGCAGUUUAAAUUAGAUGUUUUGCCAGGUCCUACUGUGAAUUUGUAUUUGUGAAUUAUUACUCAUGUGCAAUUUACAGAUUAAUUCUUCCUGUAUCACUUCAGGGUCUGAGAUAAAUAACAUUUGAAGUUUUGAACUCCCAGUGUUUCUUUUGGAAUAUUAAAAUGGUUUUUCUACGACUCAUUUGCUGACUUUCUACUGAUAAGGGGAAGCAUCAUUUUGAAAUUGUCGGUUUCUAUUUUUCUCUGUGUGAUGAUGGUUCCUAUCUUGAAUUCGCUGUGAACAUCAUCAGAUUGUCUACAAAUUGACUAUUGAUUUAUUGCAUUGUACUGUUUCAGGUUCGAUAUCCUUGUCCUUAUAAUUAUGAUCAUCGACCAUCACUAACUUCUGUUUUUACUAUUUAUUGAAUUCCUUCAUCAGUGGACCAGGAUUGAUAUACCUCUCUUAUUUUCUUAAAUUUACUUCAUCUUCACAUUCUUCAGAUCUUGGCUUCUUCUUUACCUGUGCAAACAUUGGGGUCAAAUAUGGAAACAUGACUUUCAAUUUGAAAAUAGGGAUAAGAAUAUGAAGAACAAGGUAAAUUUUGCAUAUACGGAUGGUCUCACAAGUCCACGUAAAAUGUCAAAACGAGCUACUUCCUGCUCAGAUUUCAAGGAGAAAUCUCUUCAUAUAUCCAAAUAGUCUUCAGUAAUUGAAACGAGAAAGAAUUUUCAUGUGGAGGAAGAGAUUGUUUCCCUUCGUCUGAAUGCUGGAGGGGAAGAUGGAUGACCUUGUAGAGUCAUCUUUCACGAUGCGGAUGGGAAACUGCCUUUUGACACUGGAAGUUGGUAAUCUUUAUGUCUCUGGUUUAAUCUUGCCUCUAAAGGAUAUUGCUAAGAAAGAAAAAACAAAGGGGGUUAGAUUCGAUGGCUUUGGAUGCAUAGAAGAAUGGGGUCUCUCUGGAUAUGAAGGAUAUCCAGUUAUAUGGCUGUUGACUAAAAUUGCAGAUUAUGAUUGUAUUAAACCCUCGAGUAGUUAAAAUGUUAUAUGCCAACCAGUGCUUGUGUUGAGGUUUACAAAAAUUAACAUCUUUUGUUCCUUACUUAAGUCUGGACGAGCUGCUUGUGCUGUUUUGUGUGCAUUGAGAGGGCAGAAAUGCUUAUCUAAUGUUGCGUCAAUCAAGAAUUUUAUACUUUCUCAGGGUGGGUUCAUUUAUACAGUUCUUCCAUUUGGAUGAGACAUCAAAGAAGAGUGAUAAUAAAUUUAUGGAACUACCUGUCCUUGCUGCACUUCGAGAUGAUAGUUGCAGGCAAGAGGAUCUUACACAAGCUCAGCCUAGAUCUUCGUUAGGAAUUGGUCCUGAAAUAAGUGACAGAAAACAAAAUGAUUCAAUCUGGAUUGUUGAAUGAAGAUUUAAAGCUGGCAGGAUUGUUGAAUGAAGAAGAGUAUUGGAGCUCGUUGAAGCAGGAGAAAAACAAGGAUUCAGCUUGCUUGUCAAGAAUAUAUUACAUUAAGAUUAAAUUGCAGAUUACUAUCCAUUGCUUGUCUGUUAUAAGAAUUUCAACCAAGAAACAGAUAUGUAAUCUUUGAUAGUGGUAUUUAUAAUUGUUAUGUAGAUGACUUUCCCCAAGCACGCUUCACAACUGGGCAUUGUAUAACUCUGCUCAUGGAUGAUUUCACUGGAGCUCCUUCCAAUGAAUCUGAUGAUGGAUCUGAGUACAUUUUUGACCCCCAAUAACAAAUCAUUCAUCUUCAAGUGGUUCUGGGACAUCUGAAGUUGAUGGAAUAGCAAUUUAUUUGAGUGCCAUAAAAGAAUGGAUGAUUGAGUUUGGAUCAUAAAUGGUUUUCAUUUCAAUACGCACAGUAAUUUGUUAUCAGGAAAAAGCUUGGGAGGCCAUCACAGCAAAAUUUCCCCAGAGAAGGCAUAGGCAUACUCUUCAGAUAUUAGAAAGGACAAUUCUCCAGCAGUUUUCAAGAAUUUCCCUUGAGAACAUCAAAAGGUGUACAUUCGUGACUGGUCUUACCAAGAAAAUGGAAGAGACACACCAUUCCAAAUGGCUGGUCAGGAAGAAGAAGGUUGAGCUGAGGAACUAACCAAAACUGAAUCCAAGAGCGGCAAUAACACCUGAUAGCUAAGAUAGAGGUCAAGCGGGAAACAUCCACCAGGCUAAUCAACAGAAUUAUGGGGGUUAUUAUUCAAAUCAUUUUUUUUUUUUUUUGGAGGAAUCAAAUGAGUGGACUGUUCUGUUAUGUUAUGAAACAUCUUGAAAAUGAGUGUAUGGAUUUUCAACUGGAUUGUGCCAAACAAGCUAUAACUGUGGAGAUACUGGUGCCAUGCGUUGGAAAUUGGCACAUGAAAGCUUAUGCUAAUGCUAACAAGAUUGAUAGAGCUGGAGCAGAAGAAAGGAAGAGGAAAGGACUGCCGACUGAAUAUUACCGUGAGACCUUGUAUAGUCCAGAGAGAGCGGCUUUCUUUAUCAUUCCUUUCAAUGAGAUUGGUCUUGGAUCUGGAUCUGUCAUUCUUGAAAUUUAAAGGAAACUAAUAAUAAGAAGGAACUUGUCAAGGUGAAUGCAUCUAAGCUCAUUUUUGUAUACCAAGGUACAGGAUAUUGUCUUGAUGACUUCAUCUACGUUAGCCCAACUCACGUUUCGACAGAAAGGGUGGAGGGAGGAAGGUUUAAAAGUAAGAAAAAUGGAGGACUGGAAGCUUCAUCAUAUGUCAACUGCUUGAGAUCAUUGUUUCCAAGGAACGUAAAAUAACCGAAAUCGGUGUUCCGUAGAUUAAAGUCAAGAGGUAUAUUAGACUUGAAGACAUUUCUCCAGAGAAGGAAUACUCCAAAAGAGGUAAAUUCUACUCUACGAAGCAGAGACAGUCCUAUUGAGGUGGCAGGUCCGAUUUAUCAAAUAAUAACACUCCUCAACACUUUGGCUUAGGUGUUUACACGCUUUGCGACAUCUCUUUUUUAUUUUUGAUAUAGUAUUUUAAAUUGUUGAACAUUCAUGGGCACUUUCAAGACACUUCUCGCA